rnacentral:lncRNA from 1 species
GCGUGCUAAGGAUGCAUAUGUAAGAUAAUAAAAUUUGUAUAUAUUAUUUUCUUAUUAUUCAACUUAGCUUGUUUACAUAAUAACAAUUAUUUCUCUUUCUGGAAGAAUUCUAAAAAGUGACGUCAAACCCAACCUGCUUCAGAGGAUGGUACCAUAGUCAAACCAUCGCCUGCUGAUAUGAAUAGAAUGUGGACAAAUGUGGUAGGUGGUCCAAAAAAGAGUCAUACCUACGGGCUUGGAGGUAACCAAUCCUUGAGUAAUUCCUCACCAAUGUUGCCCAACUCCACUUUUAUUUCACAAAAUGCGGAAGAAAUGGAAGAGAUGAGAACAAAAAUUGGAGAGUUGAUCCAACACUGUGCCAAAUUUGCCAAGUUUGAAGCGUUAGUAAAAAAGCAUAUGCCGCAAGUAUUUGAGGAUGAUGAAGAUAGUGAAUCAGCUGAUUAGAUUAUAGUGUUUAGUUUUUGUUUAUGAUUGCGACAUUUACACAAACUAUUAGAAUUGGUGUUUGUUCUGUAUUGUGACGUUUACACUUGUCUUAAAAUGCUUAAACUAUUUGAUUCCACUAUUUAUUUUGGAUGUUUCAAAGUGGUUGCAAAUAAUUUAUAUAUUAAAUAAUUAUUUAUUAAUCUUCCGACCACAAUGGUCGGAAAUUAUUUAAUAAAUUUAUUAAUCUUCCCACCAUAUCGGUCGGAAGAUUUUUAUUUAUUAAAUAAUUAUUUAUUAAUCUUCCGACCACAAUGGUCGGAAAUUAUUUAAUAAAUUUAUUAAUCUUCCCACCAUAUCGGUCGGAAGAUUUUUAUUUAUUAAAUAAUUAUUUAUUAAUCUUCCGACCACAAUGGUCGGAAAUUAUUUAAUAAAUUUAUUAAUCUUCCCACCAUAUCGGUCGGAAGAUUUUUAUUUAUUAAAUAAUUAUUUAUUAAUCUUCCGACCACAAUGGUCGGAAAUUAUUUAAUAAAUUUAUUAAUCUUCCCACCAUAUCGGUCGGAAGAUUUUUAUUUAUUAAAUAAUUAUUUUUAAUUCUUAAUUUCUGUUUCCGACUAUAAUAGUCGGAAAUUUCCGAUGGAUGUGAUAGAAAAUAUAUUUCCGACAAGCUCUUUUUCGACAAGCAGCAUGCGGUCGGAAAUUUCUUAGUUUCCGACUACAUUUCGACUACAUGUGCCAUCGGAAAAUACCAAAUUUUUGGUAGUGUCUAUUUUCAUCGAUGUCUUUUUAUUUUUAGAUAAUUAUUUUGUAUUUAUAUUUGUAAGUUGAUUGCAUAUUGUAUUUAGCCGUGAUUAUGUACAAUUUAUCAUUUGUAUUUGUAUAAAAAUAAGUAAAUGCAUUAAUUGUAUUUUCUUGAUUCUAAAAUAUAUAAAUAUGCAAUGUAUCAUUCGAUACAAAUGUACCGUUUUAUAUUUGUAUGUCAAAAUUAUUAUUUAUAUUUGUAAAUAAAUAAAUAAAUAUCACUUGAUACAAAUACAAUUACAAAUAAACCAAAUCAACGAUUCUAAAAAUCCAAAUUCAUAUUUUAUUUUUAUAAAAAUUUAAAUUGUAUUUAUUUGUAUCAAUAAAUAUAAUUCGUAUAAAUAAAUACAAAUAAAUAUUUAUAAAAAGAAAAUCAAUCGUUCCUUUUCAAUAAUUAAAAAAUACAAAUGAUAGUUCACACUUGUAUCUAUAUAUUAUAAUUUGCAUUUGUAUUUGUAUUUUAUAGUUCCCAUUUGUAUUUGUAUGUUAUAAUUCGCCUUUGUAUUUAUAUUUUAUAGUUGACAAUUGUAUUUAUAUUUGCUAGUUCGCACAAAUAAAAAAAAUUAUUAAAAAGAAAAAAAUAAAAAAAGGAGAAAAAAUAAAAAGGAAAAGAAGAAAAAGAAAAAAAAAGACAACGAAAAAGAAAAAAUUGAAAAAAGAAAGAAGAAACAGAAAAUCAAAAAGGAAAAGAAAAAAUGAAUAAAAAAACUGAAAAAAUAGAAUAAUAGAAAAUAGAGAAAAAAACAAAAAUAGGAGAAAAAAUAAAAAUAAAAAAAUAUAAAAGAAAAAAAAGAAAACAAAAAAUUGAAAAGAGAAAAGAAAGAGAAAACGAAAAAAAAUGAAAAGAAAAAAAGAAGGAAAAAACUGAAAAAGGAAAAAAAAGGGAAGACAAAAUGAAAAAAAGACAACGAAAAAAAAAAAUGAGAAAAAAAAGAAGAAAGAGAAAACAAAAAAAGGAAAAGAAAAAAAUGAAGAAAAAAGCUGAAAAAAAGAGUAAUGAAAAAUAGAGAAAAAAACAAACAAGGAGAAAAAAAAAUACAAAAGAAAAAAAAGAAAACGCAAAACUUGAAAAAAGAAAAGAAAGAGAAAACGAAAAAAACGGAAAAGAAAAAAAUAAGGAAAAAAAUGAAAAGGGAAAAAAAAAGAAAGUAAUAGAAAAUAGAGAAAAAGAAAAAAUACAUGAGAGAGACUAUGAAUUAUAAUUAUGAAAAAUUAAUAGGCAAGAGGAGGUUAUGAAUUGUAGUUAAUUGAAAUUAGGCUUAAUAAGAUAAUUAUGAGUUAAUAUUGGCUAAGUUAUGUAAUUAUACCUAAUAAUUAUGCUUUAAUUUCAAAUAAGUUAUAAUGAACUACGAUAUUCAAAAUUUAUCUUGUUAAUUCUUUUGGCACAAAUACCAUAGUAAAACUACAUACUUUUAAAGGAAAAAACUAUUUCUCUUCUACUUUAAAGUGAUUGUUUUAGUUUGAAUAUCUUAAUUUGACUUGAUGUUCAUUUUAAAAAAUAAAAAGUAAAUUAUAUUUUUUGUCUAAAACUAAAUAUAUGUAAAGUAUCAAAAUAUUUUUUUUGGGUUAAAAAUGUGUUUCAUAUAUUGGGGUCUUAAUUAAUAUAUGUCAUAUAGGAUAUUGACUUUUAAAAAUUAAUAAAUAUAUAAAGUAAUAUUCGAAGAGGACGAAAGGGGAAAAUAAGACAUAUUUGAUAUAACUUUAAACAGAUAAAAGUAAUACAUGCAUCUUUAAUUUUUCUUCUACAACCUAAUCUAAACAUACAAGUUUGCCACCAUCAAGCUUAAAAUAUUUGUAAAGAAAAAAAGUAAAUUUUCAUAAAGCUGAAUAAAUAAUAAAAUAAAAACAUGACACAUUCAUUUAUACUUAAAAAUAAAAGUAAAAUAAAAAGAUAAAUUGUGGGAGUACAACACUGAAAAGCCUAAAAAAAUCUUUUGUUUGUUGGUCGAUUAGAUAGUAAGUAAAUUUUUUAUCUUAAAAAUUACUUUCACAGUUAGUAAUUUUUUUUCCUACGUCUUUUCUAUUGUCAUUUUCACCAACUUUUUCCUUUCCUUUAUUUUUGGUUUUCCUUUUCUCACUCUUUUUCAGGGUAAUUUCAAAAUACGAAACAAAAGUGUCCUCUUUCGUUCAUCUAUAUGAAUCUCAUCUAAUUUUGUAAAACUCUCAUUUGCUUCUUUAUAUUCACCAUUAUCUGCAAUAGUUGUUGAACAAUUAAAUUCAAGUGGAAUAUAAAAUUUUAAUUUCUCCAUAUAUUCUUAUUUAUUAGAGGAAUCGUUUGUUAUAUUCUACUCUACCUAAUUUGUAUUGUUACAAUUAAGAAAAAAAAUACCAAAUAAUAAACCAUUGCAAAAAGAUUUAGCUUUAAACGAGAGAAACAUUAUAAUAGAACGAAAAUCAAAAUCAAGAGAAUCAUUUUUAAGGUAAAAGAACUGAAAUAUAAUGAUGUAUGAACAAUUUAAACAAAGUACUAAUCAAUAUUUCUUUUACCUUCUUAACAAAUAUCGAUAUCGAAAUCAUCAAAUUAAAAUUUUUCUUUAGAUCAUUUGUUAUCUUCUCCUCUUUAUCAAUAAUGAUUCAGAAAAAUAUCUCCAAAAUAGCAAAAUAAAUAUCUCUUUAUUCUCCUCCUAUUUUGUUGUGAAUUACUUUGAUAUAGAACGAUAAACUUUCCUCUCUUGUCUUAUUGAAGACACUAUAUCGAAGAAAAAGAAGAGACAAUUAUGGGGAAGCCCUGCAUUGUGUGUUACAAAUACUCACCCUUAUUUUAUAGAGUAAUAAGUAACUUACAUGCUAAAGAUGGACCGUUUUGAAAAUUGAAAGACUUUUUCUUCAUAUUUAACUUACUUGAAUGCGUGUCAUUAAUCAUCUUUAUAAACUUAAAGGAAUGUGCUUUCUCAUUAAUUGAGUCUUUCAAAUUAUUUUAUGAAUUAUUUGAGAAAACAUUAACAAAAAAUACUCAAAAAACACCAAAAAAGAUAAAUAGCAUUCCUUGAUUAUUAGGCAUGCCACAUAAGAUGAGCUAAAAGUCUUAUAUAUAUAUAUAUAUANNNNNNNNNNNNNNNNNNNNNNNNNNNNNNNNNNNNNNNNNNNNNNNNNNNNNNNNNNNNNNNNNNNNNNNNNNNNNNNNNNNNNNNNNNNNNNNNNNNNNNNNNNNNNNNNNNNNNNNNNNNUAUAUAUAUAUAUAUAUAUAUAUAUAUAUACACAUACAUAUAUAUAUGUAUGUAUAUAAGUAUGUAUGUAUGUAUGUAUUGAUUUUUAUGAGGUAAUAUAUCGAAACACCCCUAAACUUGACCUCAAAAUUUAUUUUAACACUUUAACUUUAUGAAAAAUUAUUUACCUUCCUAAACAACUUUCAAGUGAAUUAAAUAUUACUCUAAAGAUAUAAUACCACUCUCAUAACGAAGAGUGCAUUACAUGUGCCCACACAUCAACCCAUAUCAACGAAAAUUAUAUGUGUAUGUGUGUAUUAGAAUAUUAAAUCAAAAAAAUACCUUCCAUUCCAUUUUCUUCUUCUUCUUCAGACACACCCCUCCCCAAAUUCCUUUCUUGUUCAUCUGCAAACAACCAUCCCCACCCCUUCAUUCUUUAUUGUUCAUAUGCAAACACAUAUCCCACCCUUGCUUCUCCAUCAAAUUCAUCUACACCAUUUUUUUUCUUCUGCGAUCUCCCACCCAUCCAUUAAUUUCGUAAAUAGAACCAUUUCAAAUCAAUAAAUGGAACCACAAGUUGGAUGCCAUCACAAAUGGUACCGAAUUUGAAGAAAAUCAAGAAAUUAUUAAGCAACCUACAACCACAAUAAAAAAGAUAUAAAAAAAAAUUAGUCUUGGAGAUUGUAAAAUUGAAGAAAUUAUUUGACUUGUGAAAAAUUGAAUUGGUUAAACAUUUCUUUUCCUUCUUCUUAAAAAUGAAUUUUGAAAAAAGCGUGUUAAAAUUCAUAAAGUUUUCAUACGCAUUUUUUCUUUCUUAAUGAAAUUGAUGAAGUGCAAUAGAAGUGGAGGUGGAGGAUUAGAAGAAGGAAAAAAGGGAAUGGGGAGGGGAGUGAUGGUGGUGGGGGUGGGGGUAUAAGAAGAAAGAACAAAAGAGAAGAAGGGGUGAAGGGUGGGAGAUGAGGGGGUGGUGGGCAUCGAAGAAGAUGGGUG